UUGCUUUCUUAUUUAAUUUACAAUAAUACAAGAAAAAAAAAAUCUUUAAAAUAACAGAAUUGAUUAACAGUUUACGUACUAAAAAACUAAGACGACUAAAUUGUAGAUUUCUUUUAAAUAAAAAGAUUAAAUAGUUAAUUUUGAUAAAACACAAAGACAAAAUAAUAAUUUUUAUUCUCCAAAACAUGUUAAUUCUUUUUACUCCAGGAGUCGCAAGACACAACUCAUUCUAAAAGCAUUCUGCAAUCAAAUGGAAAUCAAGGCAGCUGGUUCUUGCCUUCUGGUAGUCGUCAAGAUGAAUGAGUGUACUUCCCUUGCCUACACCAAGGAAUAUUACAUUACACCAAAUCAAUGUCACGUUCCUAGAGUAUUUUACACUCCGAUUGCUAUGUACCAUGGAGAUAUAUAGACUCGUCCGUGCUUGACUAUUAACUAUUUAUUUGGUAUAAUAUAAUGCCCAUACUUUAAACAAGAUUUUCCGUCUUCUUAUGCUUUUCAAGUUCAUCUGUCUAUCUAUCUCCUCAGAUGUAUACAAGCAAACACUCCAACUUGCAAUGAUUAAUAUAGUUUGUCCACUGUUAACAAAAGGAAAAAACUAAACAAGUAUUCUACAUAAAAUUUUGCACAAAUUAACCAAAAUGUAUUUCAAUAGUUCACAAUUACUUGCAAUGUAGCGCACACAGCACGUACUCCAUGAACCAAAACAGACAACCCAGAAAAACAGUAUCAAACCCUCCUACUGUAUUACAUCACAGAGUCAAAAGCCUUUUUCCCCCACGCUGAAAAAGAUCUUAACUAUUACACCAUUCACAGAUCAAACUCAUUUUGUCAGGACAGUAGGAGGGAACAAAAGUAAGGAGGAAGAGAAGGGCAGCAAAUAUUACCUACGGCUUCCGAGGUGGUGAGCUGCUGCUGCUGCUGUUGCUGGUGCUUCUUCCCUUCAAAGGCCUUCUAGGACUGCGGCUCCUUGAUAUCCUGCGGGUGACCCUGCGUGGACUAGGUGACCCAGAGUAGGAUGAUGACCUCCCACGUCUUGCAGCAGGAGCUCGGCCUCUCCUUGGCGAAAGUGAUCUUGAACGCGAGCGAGCAGGCCUACGAAUUGGAGAGCGGCUACGUCGACGAAGUGGGGACCUUCUUGGGGGACUACGGGCUCGCCUAGGAGGUGUGCUGAGAAAAAGUGAAAAAGAAUUCACCAAGAAGUUACCAUAUUACAAAGUAGUUACUUCCAAAUCUAAAAUUUGCUUAGCUUGUCUUCUUUUUCUACCAAUUCUUCAGAUGUCAUACCUUAGCAAUCAUUAUCGUUAAUCACUCAAAACAUACUUUGGAAACAGACCCGUUCAAAGGCAGGUUGGGCCAAGCCCAAGUCAGGCUGCAACUUUUAUCCUCAACCUGGCCCAGCCCAACAAUUCAAGCCAAUAUCUUUUACCAAACUUGGCUCAAUACAAAUAAAACAUAUAAAUAUUUAAUUAAUCAGGCAACAGAAAUUCAGCCAGGUUCUUCAUGGGCACAAAUCCCAAGCCCUUAAUCAGGCCAGCGCUGGUUAAAAACCCCCUACCCAAGCCCAACUAAAAACCCACCUUUUAGCAGGGUAGAUGGGUCCCUAACACAUGAAUGAGUAUUUUUGGAGGCAUUUCAGCUUUUGAACUUCAGAAUUCGAUUAGAAAGAGUCAUUACCGUCUCCUUGGAGGAGGAGGAGAACGUCUGCGGACAGGACUACCACGAAUCCUUCUAGGAGAACCCCUUGCAGGGGAUCUAUAACGCCUUGGUGGAGAUGGAGAACGACCUCUAGCUGGGGAUGCUGGUCUCCUUCUUGGUGGUGUAUCCCCAUGACGAUAAGGAGACCCUAUUCGCCGACGAAGAGGAGAAUCUGCGCGUCGACGUGGAGGAGAAUCUGGAAGACGUCUUGGGGAUCCACCUCUUCGAGCAAGGGGGGAUCUUCUUCGAGGUGAGGUUAGAGGUUUCCGAUGAGAAGAAGAUUCUCUUUGCCUUUUCGGUCCAUCCUUCUCAACAUCUACACUGGCACUAUCAGUUUUGGGAGCAUCUCGCUUCGGAGCAGCAGCAAUAGGUUUUGGGGGUGGUGAAACUUUCUGUCGUGGCGGUAAUGUGAACCUUGCUCGAACAACAUUGCCAUCAAUCUGGGCCCCAUCCAUGUAUAGUAGGGCCUUCUCAGCAUCAGCCCUUGUCUUAAAUUCAACAUAUCCAUAUCCUUUUGGAAGAUUAACGGUACGGUCCAUUGCUAACUCCACAUGUACAACUUCACCAAAGUUACCUAAGUAGCAGGAAAGCCAAAGAAACCAAGAUAAAAAAAUCAAUCAAUGAAAAUGCGUACAUUCUCUUCGUACUUUGCUAUUAACAGAUUGAGAGAGGCAGCAAAAAAUGAUGUGAUUUCCUUGAAAAUACAGUCCAUGUAGCAUCAACAUUUGCUAAGCAGAAUAUUAGUUAAUCCAUUCAAUACCACAAAAUUGAAUUAUUGGAAUAGGCACAGGUUACUUUUUGGUCUACUAGUAAAAGCUACCAUGCACUAAAGAGGAAUAGACAAGUCCAACUGGUCUGCAAUGAAUCCAACUGCUCUGCAAUGAAAAACUAUGUAGCACAGAAACAGAAACAUGGAACGUACAUGGGGAAGCAGCAUUUUCUGAAAAUAUGGGAAACAAAAAUAUGGGAUAACUGGUAAUGUAUAAAUUAAAAAAUAUAGGAGUAUAUUAAUAUAUUUUAACUUUUAUAUUAAAAUUUUUAAAAUAUGUAUUCAUGCAAAUAAAUAAAUAAACACUAUUCAAGCUAAUAUUUAAAAGUCAUAAUUAUAUUCAUUAGUAAUUAUAUAAUAAACAGUACGAUAUAAGUAAUAUUACUAAAUGUAACACAUGAACUGGAAGAAAAUGUCUCAAGGUUUGUGACUUUGAAUCCCAAUCUUUCGGUUUGCAUGUUACCCAGGUGUGUCUCUCUCUCUCACAUGCUUCCCCUCCCAUAUCUGCAUUGUAACGAAAUCAUUAGUCCACAUGGAAAUUUCUUUUUUCUCUCUACUUCCUCCCAAGACUCCCUUCCCUCACUAAUCUCUAAUUCUUUCUUUACUUCUCUCUUAUAUCACUAAUUUCCACUGCAUAGAUCCCUCUUGUUCAUGGCGACUGUAACCAGUGAUCGAUGCCUAGAGAACCUUGCCGUGCAAAGAACGGAGAAGGAAAAGUAUUAAUGGAGAAAAGGAGGCAGGAGGCCAGAGACUGAACUGCUUUUGUUUUAACUUCUGUAUUUUUUUUCUUUGACAAAAUAAAUGUGUUUUCCCAACAGAAACGCAUUUCCUAUUUUUCAGAAAUUACAGAAAUGGGACCAAAAUGCUACAAACCCAUUUCCGUUUCCAAAACGGGUAUGAAACACGGACACCUUGCUGACGUUACAUUUCUGCGCUUCACAGGUGAAAAACAGCACCCUCCUCAUCUUCAUACAUAUUAGAAACACCGACCAACUUAUCCUUAAAACCAACUGUUUCAAAAAAAUACUCUACUUAAUCAGUCUCCAGCAGUCUGAUAGCUUGCGAAAAACCAGUAUUGGAAUUUUCCCAUAUCAACCCAAUCAGCAGAUAUCUUUGUAGUUCCUACUCAAACUUUAUUAUUCACAACUGCAUUGCAUACAUGGUACAAUUAGACAAUCACAGAAAUGAGCUUAAGAUGCAAACCUAUUUUCUCAUUCAGUUGGAAGCUGCUUAUUUCACAGGAAACUCAAAUAUUGCAUAGCAUGUAGGUAUACCUAAUUAGAAAAUUUAGAUGUUUUCUGUCAUUACAAAAGCUAACUUAAUUGUAUAAAGAUAUUUACCAUAGGAAAACAGCCAGGUAAUGUCAACCUUUUCAAAUUACAAUGCAGAUAGGCUUGAAAAGCAACACACAAGGGACAAUCCUUAAGAACAAGAUCUUAUAUCAACCAUAGUGAUAAUGGUUAAAUAAAGAAAAAAGAAAAAGGGAAGGUGCAGAACUUACUAAAUAUUUCUUUUAAAUGGCCCUCAUGCACAUUCCUACUGAGGGUGUCAAUAUGGAGAACACGAGACUCACGAAUGGGAGAGGUCUUCCUUGGAGGAGGAGAAGUUUUUCUAGAUUGCGGUGGUGGAGAACGACCUCGUCUAAGCACUUCAGCAGGACUCUUUUUCUGAGCAGGAGGACUGCGGCUACCAGAGCUAAGGCUGCGAGAAGGAGAGGAGGAUGAAGUGAACGAUCUAGAGCGAGAUCGAGAACGAGAACCAGAGGAUAAAGACCGGGAGCGGGAGCUGGACCGAGAAUCUGAACCGGAGUAAGAGCGUGACCGUGAAUUGGAGCGGGACCGGGAGGACGAGCCCGACCCUGAAGGCCGCAACGGACCGCCUCGCGUUGGCUUGGCCAUGGAUACAAAGGCAACACAGUGGAUAAGAAACCCUCGGUAAACCCCUAGGACCGUGAAAAUUGAUAGAAAGAAAGACGAGGCAAGACCCGCUUGGCCAGGAAUGCUAGAAUCGGAGAAA
rnacentral:misc_RNA from 1 species